rnacentral:sRNA from 1 species
AAUUUUUCCAAGAAACCAUUUGGCCUCAAAACUUUCAACACAUUGCUGGUGGUACAGAAAAAAUCACCGUUUUAACGGGGAGGGAGACUCCUUAUGAUGUGGCUGCGAAUUUUGCUGUAGCUCAUAAACUACAAAUCUUAUCAGUCUAUAAUUUUUGCAUUUUUACAAAUUUCUCACAUUUUGAGGCAAUACAUGCCAGUGGCGGCUGCAUCAGGAAAGAGUGUUAAACAUACCACCACCACCACCACUCACCCAAUUGUCUACCCGAAAGCCAUGUAUAUUAGCCUCAGCAGCAUUGCCAGGCAACGCAGCAGAAAACAUGGCCCAACGCCAAAAGUUAAGAGUGUAAUACGGAAGCAUUUCUUGAGCUGUUUAAUUCAAAACAGUUACCUCUGGCCCCCUCGGCGCAAUCGCCCCCUCUGCUAGUGAGCAAGCAACGAAAAUUGAAUUUGGCAAAAAUGGAAUGGAACAAAGAUGAAGCGAAAAAAUGGUCCCUUUUAUCGGCGCCGGAGACGCUUAUCUAUCUCUCUGACAGUUUCUCCUGUGUUAGGAAAAAUGCAAAUAAAUUUCCAUUUCAUAGGUUUUUAAC